CAGAAGAAGCACCGGCUAACUCCGUGCCAGCAGCCGCGGUAAUACGGAGGGUGCGAGCGUUAAUCGGAAUUACUGGGCGUAAAGCGCAUGCAGGUGGUUUGUUAAGUCAGAUGUGAAAGCCCGGGGCUCAACCUCGGAAUAGCAUUUGAAACUGGCAGACUAGAGUACUGUAGAGGGGGGUAGAAUUUCAGGUGUAGCGGUGAAAUGCGUAGAGAUCUGAAGGAAUACCGGUGGCGAAGGCGGCCCCCUGGACAGAUACUGACACUCAUAUGCGAAAGCGUGGGGAGCAAACAGGAUUAGAUACCCUGGUAGUCCACGCCGUAAACGAUGUCUACUUGGAGGUUGUGGCCUUGAGCCGUGGCUUUCGGAGCUAACGCGUUAAGUAGACCGCCUGGGGAGUACGGUCGCAAGAUUAAAACUCAAAUGAAUUGACGGGGGCCCGCACAAGCGGUGGAGCAUGUGGUUUAAUUCGAUGCAACGCGAAGAACCUUACCUACUCUUGACAUCCAGAGAACUUUCCAGAGAUGGAUUGGUGCCUUCGGGAACUCUGAGACAGGUGCUGCAUGGCUGUCGUCAGCUCGUGUUGUGAAAUGUUGGGUUAAGUCCCGCAACGAGCGCAACCCUUAUCCUUGUUUGCCAGCGAGUAAUGUCGGGAACUCCAGGGAGACUGCCGGUGAUUAACCGGAGGAAGGUGGGGACGACGUCAAGUCAUCAUGGCCCUUACGAGUAGGGCUACACACGUGCUACAAUGGCGCAUACAGAGGGCGGCCAACUUGCGAAAGUGAGCGAAUCCCAAAAAGUGCGUCGUAGUCCGGAUUGGAGUCUGCAACUCGACUCCAUGAAGUCGGAAUCGCUAGUAAUCGUGGAUCAGAAUGCCACGGUGAAUACGUUCCCGGGCCUUGUACACACCGCCCGUCACACCAUGGGAGUGGGCUGCAAAAGAAGUAGGUAGUUUAACCUUCGGGGGGACGCUUACCACUUUGUGGUUCAUGACUGGGGUGAAGUCGUAACAG
rnacentral:rRNA from 1 species